GGGCAAAGCAGGCAGGGCUCUCCUCUACGGUUUGGAGGCCGGCCACCAUCCAGCGAUUCGCCGUCCGUGAAGGAUUUCUGCGCAGCCCAUCCAGCCCUCCCAGCAGCGGGCGUUUUUGUGCGGCGACGGCGACCCCGCGCAGCCGAAGCUCCGCCUCCGGCCUCACCUCCAAUCGUUCUCAGCUCAUAAUGCCCACCUCCGCCGACUCGUGCAGACCGAUCCAGCCCUCCCAGGCUCUCGAUGAGUUCUUCGAUCUGUAGUGAGUCUUCACGGGCCAAACGUGGCCUGGUCCUCUGCCAUACCGGCAAUGGUUACCGCCGGGCCAGACCGUACUUUGCUAUUGCCAAAAAGAGGUGCUGCAGCUGACCGAUAGGCACCCAGGUAGAGGAUUCAUUCGCUGCAAAAACCAUGGCAAGGCGAACGGUUGUAAGUUUUUUGAAUUUGUCAGGAAUGACCCCUCACCCUUUGAGAAAGCCCUCCUGCUGGAGUUGCGAGAUAAGAUUUAUACUGUGAGAAGAACGAAUAUUGAAUUGACUACAUCACUUCGUGAAGCUAGUUAAACUUUGAAAGAGCAGGAAGCUGAGAUUAACAAGCUGAAAAUGCUGCUGGAAGAGAAGAAGGUUGGUGAGACAAGACUGAAGAUGCUGAAGGAAACCACUCAAGCUGCUGGUUUGAAGAGCAGAUACUUCAAGACAGCAAUGAUUUCAGCUGUUGUGUGCAUUUUAGCAGUCUUGUUUAUGGCCAGGGAAUCCUCCUAAGGGCAACAAUGGUGCUUUUGUAGCUGCAGUGUUACUGUUGUGGGAUAUGAGCUUCUCAUGUUGUGUGACCAUGGUGCUUUUGUAGCUACAGUAUUAAUGUUGU